GAUGAACGCUGGCGGCGUGCCUAAUACAUGCAAGUCGAGCGAACGGACGAGAAGCUUGCUUCUCUGAUGUUAGCGGCGGACGGGUGAGUAACACGUGGAUAACCUACCUAUAAGACUGGGAUAACUUCGGGAAACCGUAGCUAAUACCGGAUAAUAUCUUGAACCGCAUGGUUCAAAAGUGAAAGACGGUCUUGCUGUCACUUAUAGAUGGAUCCGCGCUGCAUUAGCUAGUUGGUAAGGUAACGGCUUACCAAGGCAACGAUGCAUAGCCGACCUGAGAGGGUGAUCGGCCACACUGGAACUGAGACACGGUCCAGACUCCUACGGGAGGCAGCAGUAGGGAAUCUUCCGCAAUGGGCGAAAGCCUGACGGAGCAACGCCGCGUGGGUGAUGAAGGUCUUCGGAUCGUAAAACUCUGUUAUUAGGGAAGAACAUAUGUGUAAGUAACUGUGCACAUCUUGACGGUACCUAAUCAGAAAGCCACGGCUAACUACGUG
rnacentral:rRNA from 1 species